rnacentral:rRNA from 1 species
GAACGCUGGCGGCGCGCCUAACACAUGCAAGUCGAACGAGCGAGAGAAAGCUUGCUUUCUCAAGCGAGUGGCGAACGGGUGAGUAACGCGUGAGGAACCUGCCUCAAAGAGGGGGACAACAGUUGGAAACGACUGCUAAUACCGCAUAAGCCCACGACCCGGCAUCGGGUAGAGGGAAAAGGAGCAAUCCGCUUUGAGAUGGCCUCGCGUCCGAUUAGCUAGUUGGUGAGGUAACGGCUCACCAAGGCGACGAUCGGUAGCCGGACUGAGAGGUUGAACGGCCACAUUGGGACUGAGACACGGCCCAGACUCCUACGGGAGGCAGCAGUGGGGAAUAUUGCACAAUGGGGGAAACCCUGAUGCAGCGACGCCGCGCGGAGGAAGAAGGUCUUCGGAUUGUAAACUCCUGUUGUUGAGGAAGAUAAUGACGGUACUCAACAAGGAAGUGACGGCUAACUACGUGCCAGCAGCCGCGGUAAAACGUAGGUCACAAGCGUUGUCCGGAAUUACUGGGUGUAAAGGGAGCGCAGGCGGGAAGACAAGUUGGAAGUGAAAUCCAUGGGCUCAACCCAUGAACUGCUUUCAAAACUGUUUUUCUUGAGUAGUGCAGAGGUAGGCGGAAUUCCCGGUGUAGCGGUGGAAUGCGUAGAUAUCGGGAGGAACACCAGUGGCGAAGGCGGCCUACUGGGCACCAACUGA